GUGAAUAUAGCGCAUCUCUUCGGAGAGCGUGACCUCCACUUUCAACUCUGUGCAUUUUUUGGCGAGGGGGGAACGAGACGAAGCAGACGCAAGUUGCAGACUCUCGCCUCUUGCGGCUCAUUUUAAACACUAGUUAAAGUAUGUAACGAAGUAUCGAAACAAAA
rnacentral:misc_RNA from 1 species